rnacentral:rRNA from 1 species
GACGAACGCUGGCGGCGCGCUUAACACAUGCAAGCCGAACGGAAAGGCCCUUGCUUGCAGGGGGUACUCGAGUGGCGAACGGGUGAGUAACACGUGGGUGAUCUGCCUUGUACUUCGGGGUAAGCCUGGGAAACUGGGUCUAAUACCGGAUAGGACCAUGCUUUAGUGUGUGUGGUGGAAAGUUUUUUCGGUACUAGAUGAGCCCGCGGCCUAUCAGCUUGUUGGUGGGGCAAUGGCCUACCGAGGCGACGACGGGUAGCCGGCCUGAGAGGGUGUACGGCCACAUUGGGACUGAGACACGGCCCAG